UACGUAGGGGGCAAGCGUUGUCCGGAAUCAUUGGGCGUAAAGCGCACGUAGGCGGCUCGGUAAGUCCGUUGUGAAAGUCAGAGGCUCAACCUCUGGAGGCCAAUGGAUACUGCCGGGCUAGAGUCCGGAAGAGGCGAGUGGAAUUCCUGGUGUAGCGGUGGAAUGCGCAGAUAUCAGGGGGAACACCGGUGGCGAAGGCGGAUCUCUGGGCCUUACCUGACGCUGAGGCGCGAAAGCUAGGGGAGCGAACAGG
rnacentral:rRNA from 1 species